AAGAUUAGAAAUGACCACAUCUACCAACGAAUGUAUGUAGCACACAUUGUAAAUAAAAUGAAAAAGGAUUAAUUAAGAUUAUUUAAUCAUGUCCAUCAUAAAGUAUCAAAUGCCCUAACAUGGGAGUGCGAUAAGUAAAUGGUAGGAGUGAGAAGGGAAAGGGGGGAGACUUAAAAUGAUGUGGAGGAAAGGAGUAUCAGAAGGUUUAUAAUUUUUGGACAUUGAUGC
rnacentral:misc_RNA from 1 species